CAGUGACCAUUAUCAUCAACUAAUUUUUCCAAGAUCGUAUACGAUGAUAUCUCAAAUGUGGGCGGGUCCAUUUACGUAUAUUAUUUCAUAAUAAGUUGCCAUGGUUUGUGUCUGAACUACCUGAAAACAUGCAUCUCAAACGUGUGUGUGUACACUGUAGGUAUUACUGAUUCGAUCAUAAGCUGCGAUGGUUAAUUUGUGUAUGGACUUAGUUUACACACAAACCAUGGCAGCUUAUUAUAGAAUAAUACAAU